UCCGGAGCCACAACAGGAACUCCUCCUAAAGUUAUUCUUUUAACAGGAACUCCUCCUAAAGUUAUUCUUUAAAGCAAAAACGGGAAGGGGACCUGGUUUCCCCAAGAACAUGCAUCUGGGCUGGGGCAGCCUUCUCCUGACUUAAAGGUCUGCGUUUUUACUACACUCUGUCACUGGUUUUAUCCCUGCCCUGCCUUAAUUAAAUGCUCUGAAGACAUAAAUAGGUUUUCUGUUUACUCAAGCUUGGGAGAAGCUGGCAGAAAAGGCCUCUUCAGCUAAAAGCUCCUUAAACCCUGAAGGUGUGAACCAGUAACAGCCAUGCAAACCCUUUCAGCUGCAGAUGCCUGUGCACAUGGCUUUGAAGCCAUGCAGUCAACCAACCUCCUUCUGGAAGGAGACAGGGAAGAGCAGCAGGAAUUCCAAGCCGGGAAGUCAGCCCACAGACCCUGACAGCAGAGGUUUAAUUAUUUUGCUCAUGGCAUUGGGAAGCCUGAGGCUGUUCCAGACCCACGCAUUCAGAGGUCAGCCGAAGGACGCAGUCUCGAGUCCAGACGCACUUUGGACCCAUUCUGUCCCCACUUCCCUCUCUUAGCAGGGCAGGUUGUCAGGGGCUGGUCCCAGGCAUGGACACUGUUCUCUGCCCUCGGUGCACAGGCCCGAGGGCAAUGAGGCCAGGGGAGGCCCUGACCCCCAGACAGACAGCUGCCCGGCAAAGACAGAGCCUCAGGCUCACAGGGGACUUGCUAAAAAUGAAGAGAACAUGAUGUCAACCAUUGAGCAACUAUGGCAGCCACAUAGAUCUGAUUCAGUAAACCAGCCACCCCCUCCCCAGGGACCACAGUUUACAGAUCUUCUAGAGGUUUCUGAAGAUUCUUUUACUCCGACUUCAGUGAGCUGGAGGAAACCUCGAAUGGCCACAUCGGACAUUACUGUCAGUACUACUGUUACUUGGGAUGACUUGGGGACCCCAAAGUCACCCCUUGGUGCCGCCACUGGGGUAUUUAUUUAUUCCGGACGGUUGCCGGGCUGUGCAGUCCCCCGGGCGCGGGCGGGUGGAGGCGCCGGACGGGGCGGUUGCCCACCGCGCAGCCGGGGGGCGGGGGGGGCCGGGGGGGGGGGGGGGGAGGAGGA
rnacentral:lncRNA from 1 species